rnacentral:miRNA from 1 species
UUGGACUUUCAGAAUGCAUUGC